UACGAAGGGGGCAAGCGUUGUUCGGAAUUACUGGGCGUAAAGGGCGCGUAGGCGGCUUGCCAAGUCAGGCGUGAAAUUCCCGGGCUCAACCUGGGGGCUGCGCUUGAUACUGGCUGGCUUGAAUGCGGGAGAGGAUAGUGGAAUUCCCAGUGUAGAGGUGAAAUUCGUAGAUAUUGGGAAGAACACCAGUGGCGAAGGCGGCUAUCUGGCCCGUGAUUGACGCUGAGGCGCGAAGGCGUGGGGAGCAAACG
rnacentral:rRNA from 1 species